UUAAAAAAAAGUAGUCUUCCAUUUGUACUAUCUUCCUGCAUUUACGAGCAAUAAUGUAACAAUGGGAAUAUUGAAGACAUCCAAAAGGCAGAACACAGAGCUAUUGAGCUGUCUGGUAUAUAAGAGAUUCUAUCAACUUCAAUGUCUACUUCUGCCGUCUUCUUCACUUUCACUUCAAAGGCUACCGGCACAGCCAGGCAAAUUUAACGUAAUUGUGAUGCACUUAACGGAUCCAGAAGAAGAAACUACAUUUCAACAAAGGCAAGGAGAAAUCUCUUCUGAACAAUUCUUUGAAAAAUACAAUUCAUCUUAGAGUAGCCACUGAUCAGAAAUAACUUAAAAGCACACAACAACAAAUAAUGUAUAAGCACGUUCUACAAAUAUUGAAGAGCAUACGUGGAUUCAGUACUAAAGUGCCAUCUCGUCCCUCCUCCUAGGAGAUGAUGUGCAUCCCACAGGCAAGUUCAGGCUGGCAGCAAACGUGAUUGGCAGGAAGAGAAUGGAAAAUGGAAAAAAAAAACCUAAAAGAAUGCACAGGAUAAAGCGAUACAUCUGUUCACUGCUGCAGGAUAGUAUGUGAACACUGGUUCACUUUAUUUAAGUGCCCACUUUAAUAGGGACUAAACUUUAAAAUGAAAAAUGCUGGUUCUCCCUCUAUAUUCCUCUUGCUACCAUCUAAUGUGAAAAAUUGAUCCUUUUUGCCACAGCAAAAAAUUGCAUCCAUUGUGAACACUUGGGAUACAGCCCAAGACCCUCCCAUGGAUAUCUGAAACUUUGGAUAACCCUAUAUUUUGACUAUAUUUGGCAUGGAAGCAUACCAUAAAAUAGCACAGAGGUCUACAAAAAAUGAGAAGAAAAUAUAUAUUGGAUCAUAGGUAAAGGAAACUGUCGAUAUUGAUUCUGUGGGUAAAGGGGUUGUGUUGUACAUGUCAUACAAAUAAAUACUGUAGUAGUUGAUAAGGAUCCAAUAAGUGGGAUAAUUGGGGAAGUGAAAAGGCAGAUCUCAAUCAUUCCUUCAUACUGCCCUGGUCAACGGAGACUUCUAUCCUAAUGUAAACAGUAACAUUCAGAAGAUAAUUUUCAUCAAAACUGUGGUAGAAUAGAGCUGAUUAAAUUCCCACCCUCCACUCUCCUGUACAGUUGCUCUUCUGCACACUAUAGUAUAUAUUAAGGUGUAGUAGUGUUACAUAUGGCAGGGGUGCAAAACUUUUAGACAUUCUGGAAUAUAAUUUCCAUAAUCCCUUACCAUUAGCCAUGCUUCUAAUUGAAGUUGUAUAAUUUCAGAAGGCCAAGGGAUCUCCAUUCCUGGUGUAGAAACAAAUACGUUUCUUUGCACGUGCAACAUACUUCCCAAUCAUGGUAUGGUUUUAAAAGUUUUUAAUUGUUUCACUUGUAUUCUAUUAUUUCGAAAUGUCUUUUAAUGCCGUAUUGUUGUCAAGGCAUCAAAUAGCUGCCUUUUAUGUAAAGGUGGGAUAGAAAUAUAGCAAAUAAAUAAUCAUGUUAGAAAUAGUACAUGUGAAGUAAAUUCCCAGAUAAAAAGUGGAAGGUAGAUGGAGAAUACUAUGCACAACUGCAUGUUGUAACACUGGUGAUUUAGAAGCCAGGAUUGCAUACCUUAAGUCCCUCCUUUAAAAAACAAUUAAAAUCCCACGUGUUAGCUUUUUCCUGCCAUGCAACGAUGCAUAGUCCCAAGUAUUUUUCAAGAACCCAGAUGGAUUGAGAAAAUAGUGUACCGUAUAUGCUAGGCUUGCUCAAAUAAUUCGAUUUCCCCGUUACCCGUUAUUAAUUCGUUACUUUCGUUAGUUUUGAAGCAAUAUACGGCCUUGAUUGUCCACA